AGGCGGAGACUUUGGCAAAUGCCGGGCACCGCCUCGGGCAUUGCACUUGUCUCGGUAUGA
rnacentral:pre_miRNA from 1 species